rnacentral:rRNA from 1 species
AUUGAACGCUGGCGGCAUGCCUUACACAUGCAAGUCGAACGGCAGCACGGGGCAACCUGGUGGCGAGUGGCGAACGGGUGAGUAAUGAAUCGGAACGUACCUUUCAGCGGGGGAUAACGUAGCGAAAGUUACGCUAAUACUGCAUAUUCUGUGAGCAGGAAAGCAGGGGAUCGCAAGACCGUGCGCUGAUUGAGCGGCAGAUGUCAGAUUAGCUAGUUGGUGAGGUAAAGGCUCACCAAGGCGACGAUCUGUAGCGGGUCUUGAGAGAGGAUGAUCCGCCACACUGGAACUGAGACACGGUCCAGACUCCUACGGGAGGCAGCAGUGGGGAAUUUUGGACAAUGGGGGCAACCCUGAUCCAGCCAUGCCGCGUGAGUGAAGAAGGCCUUCGGGUUGUAAAGCUCUUUCGGCCGGGAAGAAAUCGCACGGGCUAAUACCCUGUGUGGAUGACGGUACCGGAAUAAGAAGCACCGGCUAACUACGUGCCAGCAGCCGCCGUAAUAC